GACCCCGCACAAGCGGCGGAGCAUGCGACUUAAUUCGAUGAUACCCGUAGAACCUUACCUGGACUUGACAUAUAGGGUCAAGCUAUAGAGAUAUAGUGUGCAUUAGCGCCCUAUACAGGUGGUGCAUGGCUGUCGUCAGCUCGUGUCGUGAGAUGUUGGGUUAAGUCCCGCAACGAGCGCAACCCCCUGUCCUAUGUUGCCAGCAUUUAGUUGGGGACUCAUAGGAGACUGCCGUGAUAAACCGGAGGAAGGUGGGACGACGUCAAGUCAUCAUGCCCCUUAUGUCCAGGGCUGCACGCAUGCUACAAUGGCAAGUACAACGAGUCGCAAUACCGCGAGGUGGAGCAAAUCCGACAAACCUAGUCGU
rnacentral:rRNA from 1 species